GGCCUAGGAUGAACCAUUUGGAUGUUCUAUUUGUAUGAUUUUGAUGAUUACAAAACCAUUACUGCCUUCCUUCUGAGGCC
rnacentral:snoRNA from 1 species